AGGAUAAACGCUGGCGGCGUGCCUAACACAUGCAAGUCGAACGCGCUUUCGGGCUUCGGUGCGAGAGCGAGUGGCGGACGGGUGAGUAACACAUGGGUACCUACCUUGGAGUGAGGGAUACCGGCGAGAAAUCGCCGACAAUACCGCAUACGCUUCCCGGUGGAGACAGCGGGAAGCAAAGUUGCGCAAGCGACGCUGAGGGAUGGGCCUGUGGCCGAUUAGCUAGUUGGGGGGGUAAUGGCCUCCCAAGGCGACGAUCGGUAGCUGGUCUGAGAGGACGAUCAGCCACACUGGGAUUGAGAACGGCCCAGACUCCUACGGGGGGCAGCAGUGAGGAAUUUUCCGCAAUGGAGGCAACUCUGACGGAGCAACGCCGCGUGCAGGAGGAAGGUUUUCGGAUCGUAAACUGCUUUUCUCGGGGACGAGCAAGGACGGUACCCGAGGAAGAAGCCCCGGCUAACUACGUGCCAGCAGCCGCGGUAA
rnacentral:rRNA from 1 species